AUCACCAAAAGUCUUUUCUCUCUUUAAAAGAUAUUCUUAUUUUCCACCCGUCUUCGACAGCAACUUUAUUUUCACCAAAAAGAAUCGAUGUGGAAAAUGUCUUCCCUUCCACACAGUUCACUGCAGACAUGUGAAAAGCUGCAACGGACAUUCCUGGCUUUACUCAAGUUUCUCAGGAAAGGGCUCCACAGAGAAAUAAUUCCUUCCAGGGACUUCAAGCUAUGACCUUGGGGACUGAAAUCUGGAGACAAAGGGAAUGGGUGUUUGCCUUCACCUCAUGAAACAGACAAUGCUUCAGUCUAUACCAGCUCACACAAAGAGAAAAAGUUCACACAGGUAUGC
rnacentral:lncRNA from 1 species